rnacentral:tRNA from 1 species
AAAGAUGAAGCAAAAUUUUGCAAUCAGUUUCGGCCUGAUAUUUGGAAUUUUCCCAUUUUUA